UGCGUAGGGUGCAAGCGUUGUCCGGAAUUAUUGGGCGUAAAGAGCUCGUAGGCGGUCUGUCGCGUCUGCUGUGAAAACUCAGGGCUUAACCCUGAGCUUGCAGUGGGUACGGGCAGACUAGAGUGCGGUAGGGGAGACUGGAAUUCCUGGUGUAGCGGUGAAAUGCGCAGAUAUCAGGAGGAACACCGGUGGCGAAGGCGGGUCUCUGGGCCGUAACUGACGCUGAGGAGCGAAAGCGUGGGGAGCAAACAGG
rnacentral:rRNA from 1 species